rfam:Cavia porcellus supercont2_8 genomic scaffold, whole genome shotgun sequence.
GGGGAUUUAGCUCAGCGGCAUAAGCACCUGCCUUGCAAGCAGGUGGUCGUGAGUUCGUGAGUUCGAUCCCUG